GUGCUCGCUUCAGCAGCACAUAAACUAAAAUUAGAACAAUAGAGAAGAUUAGCAUGGCCCCUACGCAAGGAUGACAUGCAAAUUCGUCAAGUGUUCCAUAUUCUU